UACGAAGGGGGCUAGCAUUGCUCGGAAUCACUGGGCGUAAAGCGCACGUAGGCGGAUUGUUAAGUCAGGGGUGAAAUCCUGGAGCUCAACUCCAGAACUGCCUUUGAUACUGGCGAUCUCGAGUCCGGGAGAGGUGAGUGGAACUGCGAGUGUAGAGGUGAAAUUCGUAGAUAUUCGCAAGAACACCAGUGGCGAAGGCGGCUCACUGGCCCGGUACUGACGCUGAGGUGCGAAAGCGUGGGGAGCAAACAGG
rnacentral:rRNA from 1 species